GUUCCUGUAGUUGAAGUUACAACAAUGAUUUUUCGUGUCAUAGGUCAUGGUUAGUCCAUGCAGGAAUA
rnacentral:tRNA from 1 species